rnacentral:rRNA from 1 species
AAUGAACGCUGGCGGCAUGCCUUACACAUGCAAGUCGAACGGCAGCAUGACCUCGCUUGCUAGGUUGAUGGCGAGUGGCGAACGGGUGAGUAAUGCAUCGGAACGUGCCUUUUAGUGGGGGAUAACGUAGCGAAAGUUACGCUAAUACCGCAUAUUCUCUGAGGAGGAGAGCAGGGGACCUUCGGGCCUUGCGCUAGAAGAGCGGCCGAUGUCGGAUUAGCUAGUUGGUGAGGUAAAGGCCCACCAAGGCAACGAUCCGUAGCGGGUCUGAGAGGAUGAUCCGCCACACUGGGACUGAGACACGGCCCAGACUCCUACGGGAGGCAGCAGUGGGGAAUUUUGGACAAUGGGCGCAAGCCUGAUCCAGCCAUGCCGCGUGAGUGAAGAAGGCCUUCGGGUUGUAAAGCUCUUUCGGCUGGGAAGAAAUCGCACCCUCUAAUACAGGGUGUGGAUGACGGUACCAGCAGAAGAAGCACCGGCUAACUACGUG